GGCCGGACGCCGCGCGGCGUGUAUCUUGUGAACUCCCCCAGGGCAGGAAUGCAGCAAGGGUCAACGAGCUCUAGCGGGUGCGCGGUGUCCUUCAAUU
rnacentral:SRP_RNA from 1 species